rnacentral:rRNA from 1 species
GUAGGUGGCAAGCGUUGUCCGGGAAUUAUUGGGGCGUAAAGCGCGCGCAGGCGGUCCUUUAAGUCUGAUGUGAAAGCCCACGGGCUCAACCGUGGGAGGGUCAUUGGAAACUGGGGGACUUGAGUGCAGAAGAGGAGAGUGGAAUUCCACGUGUAGCGGUGAAAUGCGUAGAGAUGUGGAGGAACACCAGUGGCGAAGGCGACUCUCUGGUCUGUAACUGACGCUGAGGCGCGAAAGCGUGGGGAGCGAACAGGAUUAGAUACCCUGGUAGUCCACGCCGUAAACGAUGAGUGCUAAGUGUUAGAGGGUUUCCGCCCUUUAGUGCUGCAGCUAACGCAUUAAGCACUCCGCCUGGGGAGUACGGUCGCAAGACUG